rnacentral:rRNA from 1 species
UACAGAGAGUGCAAGCGUUAAUCGGAAUUACUGGGCGUAAAGCGCACGUAGGUGGAAUUUUAAGUCGGAUGUGAAAUCCCUGGGCUUAACCUAGGAAUUGCAUUCGAUACUGGGAUUCUAGAGUAUAGUAGAGGGAAGUGGAAUUUCCGGUGUAGCGGUGAAAUGCGUAGAUAUCGGGAGGAACACCUGAGGCGAAGGCGGGCUACUGGGCCGAUACUGACGCUGAUGCGCGAAAGCCAGGGGAGCGAACGGG